AUACUUACCUGGCAGGGGAGAUACCAUGAUCACGAAGGUGGUUUUCCCAGGGCGAGGCUUAUCCAUUGCACUCCAGAUGUGCUGACCCCUGCGAUUUCCCAAAUGUGGGAAACUUGACUGCAUAAUUUGUGGUAGUAGGGGGCUGCGUUCGCGCUCUCCCCUG
rnacentral:snRNA from 1 species